UACGGAGGAUCCGAGCGUUAUCCGGAUUUAUUGGGUUUAAAGGGAGCGUAGGUGGAUUGUUAAGUCAGUUGUGAAAGUUUGCGGCUCAACCGUAAAAUUGCAGUUGAAACUAGCAGUCUUGAGUACAGUAGAGGUGGGCGGAAUUCGUGGUGUAGCGGUGAAAUGCUUAGAUAUCACGAAGAACUCCGAUUGCGAAGGCAGCUCACUGGACUGCAACUGACACUGAGGCUCGAAAGUGUGGGUAUCAAACAGG
rnacentral:rRNA from 1 species